GACGAACGCUGGCGGCGUGCUUAACACAUGCAAGUCGAGCGGUAAGGCCCUUUCGGGGGUACACGAGCGGCGAACGGGUGAGUAACACGUGGGUGACCUGCCCUCAGCUCUGGGAUAAGCCUGGGAAACCGGGUCUAAUACUGGAUAUGACUCCAUGACGCAUGUUGUGGGGUGGAAAGCCCUGUGCGGCUGAGGAUGGGCCCGCGGCCUAUCAGCUUGUUGGUGGGGUGANGGCCUACCAAGGCGACGACGGGUAGCCGGCCUGAGAGGGCGACCGGCCACACUGGGACUGAGACACGGCCCAGACUCCUACGGGAGGCAGCAGUGGGGAAUCUUGCGCAAUGGGCGAAAGCCUGACGCAGCGACGCCGCGUGAGGGAUGACGGCCU
rnacentral:rRNA from 1 species